rnacentral:rRNA from 1 species
CGGACGGGUGGGUAAUGUAUGGGGAUCUGCCUGAUGGCGGGGGAUAACUACUGGAAACGGUAGCUAAUACCGCAUAAUGUCUACGGACCAAAGCGGGGGACCUCCGGGCCUCGCGCCAUCAGAUGAACCCAUAUGGGAUUAGCUAGUAGGUGAGGUAACGGCUUACCUAGGCGACGAUCCCUAGCUGGUCUGAGAGGAUGAUCAGCCACACUGGGACUGAGACACGGCCCAG